GUGAGUAACACGUGGAUAACCUACCUAUAAGACUGGGAUAACUUCGGGAAACCGGAGCUAAUACCAGAUAACAUGUUGAACCGCAUGGUUCAACAGUGAAAGACGGCUUGCUGUCACUUAUAGAUGGAUCCGCGCCGCAUUAGCUAGUUGGUAAGGUAACGGCUUACCAAGGCAACGAUGCGUAGCCGACCUGAGAGGGUGAUCGGCCACACUAGAACUGAGACACGGUCCAG
rnacentral:rRNA from 1 species